GCGGUCAUAGUAUAGUGGUAGAACAUCAGCCCUCCAAGCUGAGAACGCGGGUUCGAAUCCCGCUGACCGCA
rnacentral:tRNA from 1 species